GACGAACGCUGGCGGCAGGCCUAACACAUGCAAGUCGAACGGAUCCUUCGGGAUUAGUGGCGGACGGGUGAGUAACACGUGGGAACGUGCCCUUUGGUUCGGAACAACUCAGGGAAACUUGAGCUAAUACCGGAUGUGCCCUUCGGGGGAAAGAUUUAUCGCCAUUGGAGCGGCCCGCGUCUGAUUAGCUAGUUGGUGAGGUAAAGGCUCACCAAGGCGACGAUCAGUAGCUGGUCUGAGAGGAUGAUCAGCCACAUUGGGACUGAGACACGGCCCAAACUCCUACGGGAGGCAGCAGUGGGGAAUCUUGCGCAAUGGGCGAAAGCCUGACGCAGCCAUGCCGCGUGAAUGAUGAAGGUCUUAGGAUUGUAAAAUUCUUUCACCGGGGACGAUAAUGACGGUACCCGGAGAAGAAGCCCCGGCUAACUUCGUGCCAGCAGCCGCGGUAAUAC
rnacentral:rRNA from 1 species